UACGUAGGGGGCAAGCGUUGUCCGGAAUUAUUGGGCGUAAAGCGCGCGCAGGCGGUUAUUUAAGUUGGGUGUUUAAUCCCGGGGCCCAACCUCGGGUCGCACCCAAAACUGGAUAACUUGAGUGCAGAAGAGGAGAGUGGAAUUCCACGUGUAGCGGUGAAAUGCGUAGAUAUGUGGAGGAACACCAGUGGCGAAGGCGACUCUCUGGGCUGUAACUGACGCUGAGGCGCGAAAGCCAGGGGAGCAAACGGG
rnacentral:rRNA from 1 species